rnacentral:SRP_RNA from 1 species
GCUGAGCUUGGUAACGCAAGCCUGUAACCUAAGUAGGAGCAUUAAGGAGCUGGGACAUGGGUUCGUUUUAUUGAGCUAGAUCCAUUGUGGUCUACAUCUGACUUACCCAUACCAAACCGAAAGUUUGGGCCGAGGGGAUUGAGCGAAAGCUCCGGUUCUCGUGGUUCUUAGAGUGGAGAGUACUGCGUGAGGCUGGUUUCACAGAGCAGCGAUUAUCUCCCGCUUUCGGCAGUGGAAGGAUGACAGGUCGGUUCCACUUGGAUCCAUCAUAGCUCGGUGAGUUGACCUCAAAAUGAACCAUCACUUUU